rnacentral:rRNA from 1 species
AGUCAAGCUGUAAAGGGCACAUGAUGGAUGCCUUGGCACAGUAGAGCGAUGAAGGACGUGGCAAGCUGCGAGAAUCCGCGGGGAGGUGCAAGCGACCUUAGAUCCGCGGGUAUCCGAAUGGGGCAACCCGGCGCUGGUAAUGCGGCGUCAUCCCGAAAGGGAAGCUAACCCAGGGAAGUGAAACAUCUAAGUACCUGGAGGAACAGAAAGAGAAAUCGAUUCCCUUAGUAGCGGCGAGCGAAGCGGGAAGAGCCUAAACCUGGUUGCAUGUAUAAGGCUGCGACCGUUGUGCACCAGGGGUUGUGGGAUCUUGACGAGGUGUGUUGCAGAACACCUGGAGAGUCAGAAAAUCUGUUGAUAGUCGAAUUGUUCUGGAAAGACAAGCCAUAGUGGGUGAUAGCCCUGUAGACGAAAUCAUCAGAUCUCUUUUGUCGAGACACCCGAGUACUGCGGGGCACGUGAAACCCUGUGGGAAUCUGCCCGGACCACCGGGUAAGGCUAAAUAUGCUACU